rnacentral:rRNA from 1 species
AUUGAACGCUGGCGGCAGGCCUAACACAUGCAAGUCGAACGAGUGGCGGACGGGUGAGUAAUGUCUGGGAAACUGCCUGAUGGAGGGGGAUAACUACUGGAAACGGUAGCUAAUACCGCAUACCAUCAGAUGUGCCCAGAUGGGAUUAGCUAGUUGGUGGGGUAAUGGCUCACCAAGGCGACGAUCCCUAGCUGGUCUGAGAGGAUGACCAGCCACACUGGAACGGAGACCGGGCCCAGACUCCUACGAGAGGAAGCAGUGGGGAAUAUUGCACAAUGGGCGCAAGCCUGAUACAGCCAUGCCGCGUGUAUGAAGAAGGCCUUCGGGUUGUAAAGUACUUUCAGCGGGGAGGCGUUACCCGCAGAAGAAGCACCGGCUAACUCCGUGCCAGCAGCCGCGGUAAUAC